rnacentral:lncRNA from 1 species
CCUGACCCGACCCACAACCCCCUGUUCUACCUGACCUUACCCACAACCCCCUGUUCUACCUGACCUUACCCACAACCCCCUGUUCUACCUGACCUUACCCACAACCCCCUGUUCUACCUGACCCGACCCACAACCCCCUGUUCUACCUGACCCGACCCACAACCCCUGUUCUACCUGACCUUACCCACAACCCCCUGUUCUACCUGACCUUACCCACAACCCCCUGUUCUACCUGACCUUACCCACAACCCCUGUUCUACCUGACCUUACCCACAACCCCCUGUUCUACCUGACCUGACCUUACCCACAACCCCCUGUUCAACCUGACCUGACCUUACCCACAACCCCCUGUUCAACCUGACCUGACCUUACCCACAACCCCAUGUUCAACCUGACCUUACCCACAACCCCCUGUUCAACCUGAUCUUACCCACAACCCCCUGUUCAACCUGACCUUACCCACAAUCUCCUGUUCUACCUGACCUGACCCACAACCCCCUGCUCUGACCCACGACCCCCUGACCUUACCCACAACCCCUUGUUCUACCUGACCUUACCCACAAUCUUCAACAUGUGUAUGUGUACAUCUCAAGAGAAGCAGUAGAACAUGAUGUGAUACUAUGAGACAAUGUGUCCAGUACUAAAGUCAGCAUCUCACUCACUAGCUCCUUGUUGUUUGGUUCUCCAUGCUGUCCUCUUCCAGGCUGAUGCAGUGUUGAGUCCCAGGUUUCUACAAAGUCAGGAUAUCUUUUUUAAUGUACUGUAUAUUGUGAUAUAUAUAUAUAUCUAGCCUAAAGAGGUUUUUGUGCUAUAAAGAGAAUGUUUCACAUAUAAAAUGAGGCUCACACAUUAUAAAUCUAUAGUUUAUUGUGUCUAAUAUAUAACCUGUAGAGAUAUGUUCCAUGCAGUGUAUCUGUGCAUUUGACUGUUAUUCUCACUGAAUUACGCUUUCACUGUCUCUCCUUCCCACACUGUCUGUACUACUGAACAGUAAAGAAGCUCUCACCUGCC